rnacentral:rRNA from 1 species
CAAGUCGAGCGGCAGCGCGGGGCAACCUGGCGGCGAGCGGCGAACGGGUGAGUAAUGCAUCGGAACAUGUCCAUGUCGUGGGGGAUAGCCCGGCGAAAGCCGGAUUAAUACCGCAUAAGCCCGAGAGGGGAAAGCCGGGGACCGCAAGGCCUGGCGCGAUUGGGUUGGCCGAUGUCCGAUUAGCUAGUUGGCGGGGUAAGAGCCCACCAAGGCGAUGAUCGGUAGCUGGUCUGAGAGGAUGAUCAGCCACACUGGGACUGAGACACGGCCCAGACUCCUACGGGAGGCAGCAGUGGGGAAUUUUGGACAAUGGGGGAAACCCUGAUCCAGCCAUUCCGCGUGAGUGAAGAAGGCCUUCGGGUUGUAAAGCUCUUUUGUCCGGAACGAAACGGUUGCGACUAAUACUCGCGACUACUGACGGUACCGGAAGAAUAAGCACCGGCUAACUACGUGCCAGCAGCCGCGGUAAUACGUAGGGUGCGAGCGUUAAUCGGAAUUACUGGGCGUAAAGCGUGCGCAGGCGGUUUUGUAAGCCAGAUGUGAAAUCCCCGGGCUUAACCUGGGAAUGGCAUUUGGGACUGCAAGGCUUGAGUGCGGCAGAGGAGACUGGAAUUCCUGGUGUAGCAGUGAAAUGCGUAGAUAUCAGGAGGAACACCGAUGGCGAAGGCAGGUCUCUGGGCUGACACUGACGCUCAUGCACGAAAGCGUGGGGAGCAAACAGGAUUAGAUACCCUGGUAGUCCACGCCCUAAACGAUGUCGACUGGUUGUUGGGGGUUUGACACUCUCAGUAACGAAGCUAACGCGUGAAGUCGACCGCCUGGGGAGUACGGCCGCAAGGUUAAAACUCAAGGAAUU